GGGUGUGCCGCUGGCGGUUAGUGACUUCGCGUCACGAAGCUGUUGGUGGUCGCAGUGAAAUGGCGGUUGUGACUGUUUACUAAAAACACAGGACUCUGCGAAGUCGUAAGACGACGUAUAGGGUCUGAUGCCUGCCCGGUGCUGGAAGGUUAAGGGGAUAUGUCAGCGCAAGCGAAGCAUUGAACCGAAGCCCCAGUAAACGGCGGCCGUAACUAUAACGGUCCUAAGGUAGCGAAAUUCCUUGUCGGGUAAGUUCCGACCUGCACGAGGGCAUAACAACAUCCGCACUGUCUCGACCAGGGACUCAGCGAAAUUACAUUGGGGGUGAAGAUGCCCUCUACCCGCGGAAAGACGGAAAGACCCCAUGAACCUUUACUGCAACUUGGCAGUGAUUUUCGGGUUGUUCUGCGUAGGAUAGGUGGGAGGCUUUGAAGCCGGGCUUCCGGGUUCGGCAGAGCCAACGUUGAAAUACCACCCUGAAUAAUCUGGAAAUCUAACCUGCGCCCAUGAUCUGGGCGAGGGACACUGCCUGGUGGGCAGUUUGACUGGGGCGGUCGCCUCCUAAAUUGUAACGGAGGCGUGCGACGGUUCCCUCAGGCUGAUUGGAAACCAGCCGUAGAGUGCAAACGCAUAAGGGAGCUUUACUGCGAGACUGACAAGUCGACCAGUUGCGAAAGCAGGUGUUAGUGAUCCGGUGGUACCACAUGGAAGGGCCAUCGCUCAUCGGAUAAAAGGUACUCUGGGGAUAACAGGCUGAUCGCGCCUGAGAGUUCACAUCGGCGGCGCGGUUUGGCACCUCGAUGUCGGCUCAUCGCAUCCUGGGGCUGGAGCAGGUCCCAAGGGUUUGGCUGUUCGCCAAUUAAAGCGGUACGCGAGCUGGGUUUAAAACGUCGUGUGACAGUUUGGUCCCUAUCUUCCGUGGGCGCAGGACACUUGAGAGGAGCUAUCCAUAGUACGAGAGGACCUGGAUGGACGAACCUCUGGUGCUCCGGUUGUCACGCCAGUGGCAUAGCCGGGUAGCCAUGUUCGGAACAGAUAACCGCUGAAGGCAUAUAAGCGGGAAGCUGGCCUCAAGACUAGGUGUCCCUGACGCAAGUCACUAAAGGCCCCUCGAAGACUACGAGGUUGAUAGGCUCGGUGUGGAAGCACAGCGAUGUGCGGAGCUAACGAGUACUAAUAGGCCGUGCGGCUUGACCGC
rnacentral:rRNA from 1 species